AGAAGAGCUGUUAAGAAGUACGUAAGAGGCAGAAUCAAUAGCAUUUGGUGACCAACUGGGUGUGAAGGCCAAAGGAAAGGGGUUGAUGAGUCCCAGGAUAAAAGCCACAGGUUUCUGGAUCUGCUUAUAAACUAUGGUUCCUCAUGAGGCAAGAAGCCAGUAAUAACACCACAAUGUUGAGCCGGCACAAUAGAAGACCAGGUCAGAAGCUCUUGGUCUUCUUGCAAAGAAGAAUGCCAUAUUUCCAGGAAGUGGAGAGGAGAGGAAGAGCAAACAGGGCUGAUCCUGAGCCUCCUUCUGUAGUUGGGAGACCACUGCAAGGAGAAAAGAAAGAAAGAAAGAAAGGAAAGAAAGAAAGGAAGGAAGGAAAGAAAGAAAGAAAGAAAGAAAGAAAGAAAGAAAGAAAGAAAGAAAGAAAGAAAGAAAGAAAGAAAGAAAGAAAGAAAGAAAGAAAGAAAGAAAGAAAGAAAGAAAGAAAGAAAGAAAGAAAGAAAGAAAGAAAGAGAGAGAGAAAGAGAUAGAGAAAGAAAGAAAGAAAGAGAGAGAGAGAGAAAGAGAGAGAGAAAGAGAGAAAGAAAGAAA